rnacentral:sRNA from 1 species
GGUUUUGCCAUAUAUCAACAUGAAUCUGUCACCCCAUUGAUCGUUAGGGUUGAUUCGGCUGAUCUGGCUGGCUAGGCGGGUGUCCCCUUCCUCCCUCACCGCUCCAUGUGCAUCCCUCUGGAAUCUGUGCACUCGGUCGAAGAGGACGACCAUCCCCCAUAGAGGAGGACCGGUCUUCGGUCCAAGGGUAUACGAAUAGCUGCGCUCCCGGCUAGAACCUCCAAACAAAUCUAAUUCUCUUU